GCCUCUGUAGCUCAGUUGGUUAGAGCGCUGCACCGGAAUCGCAGGGCCGUAGGUUCGAAUCCUACCAGAGGAC
rnacentral:tRNA from 1 species